ensembl:snoRNA SNORA72 Small nucleolar RNA SNORA72
CUGCCCCUGAAAUCGGAGCUAUUCUCAAUGUUCCGAUUAAACAUUGCUUUAAUAAGACCAUGCAUGCAUCUCUAGAUCUAGCUCUUUACCUACCUAGCUCUGGUCUUAGAAAUGCUAGCCACAAUA